rnacentral:lncRNA from 10 species
CAAUGGCGGGCACCCCUUCCGCAGCCUUGCUGCCGCCUUGCAGUUCUAUCUCAGACUGCCGUGCUAGCAAUCAGCUAGACUCUGUGGGCACAGGACCCUCCGAGCCAGGUGCCGGAUAUAAUCUCCUGGUGUGCUAUUUUCCAAGCCCGUCGGAAAGCGCAGUAUUCAGGUGGGAGUGACCAGAUCUUCCGGGUGCCGUCUGUCACCCCUUUCCUUGCCUAGGAAAGGGAACUCCCUGACCCCUUGCGCUUCCCGAGUGAGGCAAUGCCUCACCCUGCUUCGGCUCACACACGGUGCGCGCACCCACUGACCUGCGCCCACUGUCUGGCACUCCCUAGUGAGAUGAACCCGGUACCUCAGAUGGAAAUGAUGAAAUCACCCGUUUUCUGUGUCGCUCAGGCUGGGAGCUGUAGACUGGAGCUGUUCUGAUUUGGCCAUCUUGGCUCUGAGAGAGAAAUUAUCACAAGCUGCCCUGCAGUAGGUUUAAGAUAAAUAUGUACUCAAAGCAGGUGGCUCAAUCCACUUAUCAGCAUUUGGCAUACCAGGGUUCAAUGGGUAAUCACAAAGAAGAACGGGGCAGAGCUAGAGAACAGAGAGAACGCUUUUUGUGACUCAAGUGUGCAGAAGGUAAUCAACUCUUCCUAAGGAUCAGAUGUUUAUUCAAUGCCUAUCCUGGGCCAGAAGCCAUUCCAGACACAUGGAAUACAUCAGUGAACAAAAUACAAUCUUUGAUGUCAAAGAAGAAUUUACAUUCAAAUUGAACAAGACAAGUAACAGAUCAUGGAUUGAUAAAAUUGGUAAAAGUGUUCAGAAUAAAUAUCAUUGAGACUUUGAUAUUUGAGCAAAAACUUUAGGGAACAAUGUGUGCUGUGGCUAUUCUAGGAAUGAGUGUUCUAAGAAAAGAGAAUUGCUAACUGCUUGUAUAAAUGUGCUGAUGUAGUAGUGUGUGGCCAGAGCAGAUCACGUGGGGACUUUGAGGAUUGUAAGAGCAUUGUUUUUUGUUCUGAGUGAGAUAAGAAUCUGUUGCUGGUUUUGAAUACUAAAGUAAUAUGAUCUACCUUACAUUUAAAGGAGGCACACUGGUUGCUGUGUUGAGACUAGGCUGAGUAGAAUCAGGAAAACUAGUUAGUAAAGAACUUAAGUACAUGAAGGUUCAUUAAAUGCUCAGCCUACUCAAUAAUUUAGAAGAAAAGACACAACCCAAUCCAUGACUAUUAGCCAUAUGAAAUAAAAUAUAAAUAUCAGAGCAGAUAUAAGCAAAACUUUGACCAAAAAGAAAACACAAAAAAUCAAGAAACAGAAAAUUUGCUUUUUUGGAAAAAACAUGAUAUGACCAUAAAAACAGACACGUACACCAAUGAAACAGAAGAGAAAACUCCAAAAUAAAUCCACACUCUUACAGCCAAUCAUUUUUGACCAAGAUGUGAAGAACAUACACUGGGGAAAGGACAAUUUUUAAUGUAUGAUGAUAAGAAACUGGAUAUCCAUAUUCAGAAAAAUAAAAAUAGAUUCCCAUCUUUUUCUAUGUACAAAAAUCCACUCAAAAUGGAUUAAAAGCUUAAACAUAAGACAUAAAACUGUAAAACUACUAGUAGAAAAUAUUGGGAAGAGACUUCAGGACAUUGGUGUGAGCAAAGAUUUUGUAAGACUCCAAAGAAAUAUAAAUUUUCCAAUGAAAGCAAAAAUAGGCAAAUGGGAUUACAUUAGGCAGAAAAGCUUUUACACAGCAAAUGAAACAAUUGUCAAAGAGACAACCUAUAGAAUAAGAGAAAAUAUUUGCAAACUAUCCAAUCAACAAGAGAUUAAUAACCAGAAUAUAUAAGGAACUCAACAGAUAAAAACCAAAUAAUCCAAUUUAAAAAUGGGCCAAGGAUCUGAAUAGACAAUUCUCAAAAGAAGAUAUACAAAGAGUCAAUAGGCAUAUGAAAAAAUGCUCGACAUCACUAAUCAUCAAGGCAAUGAAAAUCAAAAUCACAAUGAAAUAUUAUCUCAUCCCAACUGUAAUUGCUAUUGUCAAAAAACAAACAAACAAAAAAUAACAAAUGCUGUAAGGAUAUGGAGAAGGAGGAACAUUUAUACAUUCUUGGGGGGAAUGUAAAAUAGUACAGCCAUUAUGGAAAACAGUAUGGAGGUUCCUCAAAAAACUAAAAAUAGAACUAUAACAUGAUUCAGUAAUCCCACUGCUAGGUAUACAUCCAAAAGAAAGAAAAUCAAUAUAUUGAAGAGUUAUCUGCAUGCCUAUGUUUAUCACAGCACUAUUCACAGUAGUCAAGAUAUGGAAUCAACCAAAAUGUUUAUCAACAGAUGAGUGGAUAAAGCAAAUACAGUAUAUAUAUACAAUCAAAUAUUAUUUAGCCAUAAAAAGAACAAAAUCCUGUCAUUUGCAGAAACAUGGAAGAAACUGAAGGUUAUUAUGUAAAGUGGAAUAAGCCAGGCAAAGAAGAAAUAUCACAUAUUCUCAUUCAUAUGUGGGAGCUAAAAAAUGGAUCUCAUGGAGGUAGAGAGUAGAAUGGUGCUUACCAGAGGCUGAGAGGGGAAGAAAGAUGGGGAUAAUGAUAAAAUGGUUAAUGGAUACAAAAAUACAGAUAGAGAAAAUAAAUAAGUUAUAGUAUUCAACAGUACGGUAGGGAAUUUAUAGUUAAAAAUAAUGUGUUGUAUAUUUCAAAACAGCUAGAUAAGAAGAAUUGUAAUGGUCCCAAUACAAAGAAAAAUAUUGGAGUUGAUGGAUAUUCCAAUUAUGCUGAUUUAUCAGUACACAUUAUAUAUAUAUGAAUCCAAAUAUCACAUAUAUCCCAAAAAUAUGUACAACUAGGUUAUAUCAAUAGUGUAUGUGUAUACACACACACACACACACACACACACAAACAAAAAAAGAAUUAAAAAAUGAAUGCCAAAAAUUUCCCUGAAUCUGACUUCUUGGUAGCAAUAUACGUAUUUAAAAUGCAAAUAGUACAAUCAAGUAUGAAGCAAAA